CCUACGGGGGGCAGCAGUGAGGAAUAUUGGUCAAUGGACGGAAGUCUGAACCAGCCAUGCAGCGUGCAGGAAGACGGCCCUAUGAGUUGUAAACUGCUUUUGUACAAGGGUAAACCUGAAUACGUGUAUUCAGCUGAAAGUACUGUACGAAUAAGGAUCGGCUAACUCCGUGCCAGCAGCCGCGGUAAUACGGAGGAUCCAAGCGUUAUCCGGGUUUAUUGGGUUUAAAGGGUGCGUAGGCGGAUUGAUAAGUGAGAGGUGAAAUGUCCGAGCUUAACUCGGGAACUGCCUAUAAUACUGUAGAUCUAGAGAGUAGAUGCGGUAGGCGGAAUGUAUGGUGUAGCGGUGAAAUGCUUAGAGAUCAUACAGAACACCGAUUGCGAAGGCAGCUUACCAAUCUAUAUCUGACGUUGAGGCACGAAAGCGUGGGGAUCAAACAGGAUUAGAUACCCUAGUAGUC
rnacentral:rRNA from 1 species